AUUCGAGUGCCUGCGUUUUUUGCAGGAGAAUAGGGAAUCGGGUGAAAAUCCCGAACGGUACCGCCGCUGUAAACGCGGAGGACGCUCAUAAAGGUUUUGCAAAAUCAAAACUGCCACUGCGAAUUUUCGUGGGAAGGAAUGGGUGCUUCCUUUGAUGCGUAAGUCAGAAGACCUGCUUGGAU
rnacentral:ncRNA from 1 species